UAAAAUAGUUUAAAAAAAAUAUUGAUUUGUGGAGUCAAAGAUUUGUUAUUAUUUUAA
rnacentral:tRNA from 1 species